CCUACGGGAGGCUGCAGUGAGGAAUAUUGGUCAAUGGACGAGAGUCUGAACCAGCCAAGUAGCGUGAAGGAUGACUGCCCUAUGGGUUGUAAACUUCUUUUAUAUGGGAAUAAAAUGUUCCACGUGUGGGAUUUUGUAUGUACCAUAUGAAUAAGGAUCGGCUAACUCCGUGCCAGCAGCCGCGGUAAUACGGAGGAUCCGAGCGUGUUCCGGAUUUAUUGGGUUUAAAGGGAGCGUAGGUGGAUUGUUAAGUCAGUUGUGAAAGUUUGCGGCUCAACCGUAAAAUUGCAGUUGAAACUGGCAGUCUUGAGUACAGUAGAGGUGGGCGGAAUUCGUGGUGUAGCGGUGAAAUGCUUAGAUAUCACGAAGAACUCCGAUUGCGAAGGCAGUUCACUGGACUGCAACUGACACUGAGGCUCGAAAGUGUGGGUAUCAAACAGGAUUAGAUACCCUGGUAGUC
rnacentral:rRNA from 1 species